AGUGAACGCUGGCGGUAGGCCUAACACAUGCAAGUCGAACGGCAGCACAGUAAGAGCUUGCUCUUACGGGUGGCGAGUGGCGGACGGGUGAGGAAUACAUCGGAAUCUACUUUUUCGUGGGGGAUAACGUAGGGAAACUUACGCUACUACCGCAUACGACCUACGGGUGAAAGCAGUGGAUCUUCGGACCUUGCGCGAUUGAAUGAGCCGAUGUCGGAUUAGCUAGUUGGCGGGGUAAAGGCCCACCAAGGCGACGAUCCGUAGCUGGUCUGAGAGGAUGAUCGGCCACACUGGAACUGAGACACGGUCCAGACUCCUACGGGAGGCAGCAGUGGGGAAUAUUGGACAAUGGGCGAAAGCCUGAUCCAGCCAUACCGCGUGGGUGAAGAAGGCCUUCGGGUUGUAAAGCCCUUUUGUUGGGAAAGAAAAGCAGCAGAUUAAUACCCCGCUGUUCUGACGGUACCCGAAGAAUAAGCACCGGCUAACUUCGUG
rnacentral:rRNA from 1 species